rnacentral:piRNA from 1 species
UNGCCUGCCACGGCACCAUCCAAACCCUG